UUGAACGCUGGCGGCAGGCCUAACACAUGCAAGUCGAGCGGUAGCACAGAGAGCUUGCUCUCGGGUGACGAGCGGCGGACGGGUGAGUAAUGUCUGGGAAACUGCCUGAUGGAGGGGGAUAACUACUGGAAACGGUAGCUAAUACCGCAUAACGUCGCAAGACCAAAGUGGGGGACCUUCGGGCCUCAUGCCAUCAGAUGUGCCCAGAUGGGAUUAGCUAGUAGGUGGGGUAACGGCUCACCUAGGCGACGAUCCCUAGCUGGUCUGAGAGGAUGACCAGCCACACUGGAACUGAGACACGGUCCAGACUCCUACGGGAGGCAGCAGUGGGGAAUAUUGCACAAUGGGCGCAAGCCUGAUGCAGCCAUGCCGCGUGUGUGAAGAAGGCCUUCGGGUUGUAAAGCACUUUCAGCGGGGAGGAAGGCGAUAAGGUUAAUAACCUUGUCGAUUGACGUUACCCGCAGAAGAAGCACCGGCUAACUCCGUGCCAGCAGCCGCGGUAAUACGGAGGGUGCAAGCGUUAAUCGGAAUUACUGGGCGUAAAGCGCACGCAGGCGGUCUGUCAAGUCGGAUGUGAAAUCCCCGGGCUCAACCUGGGAACUGCAUUCGAAACUGGCAGGCUAGAGUCUUGUAGAGGGGGGUAGAAUUCCAGGUGUAGCGGUGAAAUGCGUAGAGAUCUGGAGGAAUACCGGUGGCGAAGGCGGCCCCCUGGACAAAGACUGACGCUCAGGUGCGAAAGCGUGGGGAGCAAACAGGAUUAGAUACCCUGGUAGUCCACGCCGUAAACGAUGUCGAUUUGGAGGUUGUGCCCUUGAGGCGUGGCUUCCGGAGCUAACGCGUUAAAUCGACCGCCUGGGGAGUACGGCCGCAAGGUUAAAACUCAAAUGAAUUGACGGGGGCCCGCACAAGCGGUGGAGCAUGUGGUUUAAUUCGAUGCAACGCGAAGAACCUUACCUGGUCUUGACAUCCACAGAACUUUCCAGAGAUGGAUUGGUGCCUUCGGGAACUGUGAGACAGGUGCUGCAUGGCUGUCGUCAGCUCGUGUUGUGAAAUGUUGGGUUAAGUCCCGCAACGAGCGCAACCCUUAUCCUUUGUUGCCAGCGGUUAGGCCGGGAACUCAAAGGAGACUGCCAGUGAUAAACUGGAGGAAGGUGGGGAUGACGUCAAGUCAUCAUGGCCCUUACGACCAGGGCUACACACGUGCUACAAUGGCAUAUACAAAGAGAAGCGACCUCGCGAGAGCAAGCGGACCUCAUAAAGUAUGUCGUAGUCCGGAUUGGAGUCUGCAACUCGACUCCAUGAAGUCGGAAUCGCUAGUAAUCGUGGAUCAGAAUGCCACGGUGAAUACGUUCCCGGGCCUUGUACACACCGCCCGUCACACCAUGGGAGUGGGUUGCAAAAGAAGUAGGUAGCUUAACCUUCGGGAGGGCGCUUACCACUUUGUGAUUCAUGACUGGGGUG
rnacentral:rRNA from 1 species